CAGCAGCAGCCGCGGUAAUACGGAGGGUGCAAGCGUUAAUCGGAAUUACUGGGCGUAAAGCGCACGCAGGCGGUCUGACAAGUCAGAUGUGAAAUCCCCGGGCUUAACCUGGGAACUGCAUUUGAAACUGUCAGGCUGGAGUCUUGUAGAGGGGGGUAGAAUUCCAGGUGUAGCGGUGAAAUGCGUAGAGAUCUGGAGGAAUACCGGUGGCGAAGGCGGCCCCCUGGACAAAGACUGACGCUCAGGUGCGAAAGCGUGGGGAGCAAACAGGAUUAGAUACCCCUGUAGUCCCUGUCUCUUAUAC
rnacentral:rRNA from 1 species